rnacentral:rRNA from 1 species
GAUGAACGCUAGCUACAGGCUUAACACAUGCAAGUCGAGGGGUAGCACGGAGGAAGCUUGCUUCCUUGGGUGACGACCGGCGCACGGGUGAGUAACGCGUAUCCUACCUACCCAUUACUCGGGCACAGCCGCUCGAAAGAGUGAUUGAUUCCCGAUAUGUCAUUAGAGUAGAUCUAAUGAUGAAAGAUUUAUCGGUUAUGGAUGGGGAUGCGUAAGAUUAGGUAGUAGGCGGGGUAACGGCCCACCUAGCCGACGAUCUUUAGGGGUUCUGAGAGGAAGGUCCCCCACACUGGUACUGAGACACGGACCAGACUCCUACGGGAGGCAGCAGUGAGGAAUAUUGGUCAAUGGGCGGAAGCCUGAACCAGCCAAGUAGCGUGAAGGAUUACAGCCCUACGGGUUUUAAACUUCUUUUAUAUAAGAGUAAUGUGCACUACGUGUAGUGUAUUGCAAGUAUUAUAUGAAUAAGCAUCGGCUAACUCCGUGCCAGCAGCCGCGGUAACAC